AUCUACGGCCAUACCACCCUGAACACGCCCGAUCUUGUCUGAUCUUGGAAGCUAAGCAGGGUCAGGCCUGGUUAGUACUUGGAUGGGAGAUGCUUUGGAAUCCUGGAUGCUGCAGGCU
ensembl:rRNA 5S_rRNA 5S ribosomal RNA